GUUCACACAAUAAGCGUGUUGCUUGAUCGGAGAGUGGUCACCUACAUCUAUGUCAUGUUCGAGGACAGUAGUGCGAGACGGAGUGUCAGCACACAGAGAUGGAGUUUCUGAGUCGGGAGCAACCCUCAGCACAAACGAAAGCUAAGCCAUCACUUUCUGGGCUAUACUGAGACGGAGAUGCUGGCACAACUACCAACACGGCAGACAGCGCAGCGGGGGAUGAGGAGGAGUUUACACCUGCAUCACGAACAAAAUAAGGCUUCAUCAGAUUAACAUGACACACACGACACUUUCUCCUACGGUCUGGGGUACCUAUAACAUAAUCUGUGUCACUCAGUUUCUCUUGGACAGUAUAGGGCCCACAGAACUUUGCCUGGAGAGAGGAUCCAGGAACGGGUAGGAGAGUCAACACUUUGUCACCCACUUCAAAUUUUCUCUGCACGGACUUUUUGUCGAAUUUCCUUUUCAUUUUUUCCUGAGAUGCGGAAAGAGCCUCGCGUGCAAUUUCGCAUGCUUUAUGCAGACGCUCCCUAAAACAACUUACGUAAUCUAAUACGUUCUGCUCGGGGGUACCUGUUGUCGAGGAGGGAAAUUAUUUUACUGCUAUUGUUAAAUAAUUGUCAUUGCAUUAAUAAUAUAAUCUGCAGCAUGGAUAUUGCAUUCCAAGGUUUAAACAGUGUCUCUUUCAGAAAGACUGAGUUGCAGGCUGACAGGAAGUUGUAUGCAGAAGUGAAACCAGGAAGUUAUUUUGAGCCGCAGGCUAAGACGAGGCUUUAACAAUGUAACAGAUAGCUUUAUCAUUUUAUAUUAAGGUUUUAGUAGAGGUUCUUGAUUAAAACAUUUAUUUAGUAGAAGACAUACACAUAGUCUCAGUGAGCUUCUGGUCUGGUAAAAGGUCAGAAGUGCAACAGGUGAAUUGAGAAAGAGCAUGUGAGGUCGUGACACACACACAUAGAGUUAAAUUUAUUUAGAGGAACCGUCCUUGUUGUCUCGGCAAGAAAGAGGAACAAUUCAUUUUAAGAUAAGAACGGAAAGUACCACGCCAUGAAAAUAGGAGAUGAUUUUCUAGGUGAAAAGUCAUGAUAUUGAUCUGAUCUAUGUAUAAAAUGUACUGGUGACGUAUGAAGGGGCGUCAGUAAAUAAACCCUGAUGCUAUAAAAUAUCUGUUCAUGCUUUGAGUAAGUCGAAGACUACUUCCUGUCUGCGUACAGAGU
ensembl:lncRNA